GGCGGGUCUCCCCGCAUCGUAGCGUGGUCAACCUGGUCAGGUCCGGAAGGAAGCAGCCACAGCCGCUAACUGCGAGUGCCGGGGGUCAGGCUCGCCACC
rnacentral:SRP_RNA from 1 species